rfam:Brassica napus, WGS project CCCW01000000 data, contig: 9228
GGAAUAUAAGAACUCGUUUCUUAAUUUUUAACUAAAAAAACUAAGAACCGUCUCUUAGAACUCUUAUUUAAGAACCGGUUCUUAAUUUUUUUAUUAAAAAUUAAGAGUUAUGUUCUUAUAUUCC